GAUGAACGCUGGCGGCGUGCCUAAUACAUGCAAGUCGAGCGAACGGACGAGAAGCUUGCUUCUCUGAUGUUAGCGGCGGACGGGUGAGUAACACGUGGAUAACCUACCUAUAAGACUGGGAUAACUUCGGGAAACCGGAGCUAAUACCGGAUAAUAUUUUGAACCGCAUGGUUCAAAAGUGAAAGACGGUCUUGCUGUCACUUAUAGAUGGAUCCGCGCUGCAUUAGCUAGUUGGUAAGGUAACUGCUUACCAAGGCAACGAUGCAUAGCCGACCUGAUAGGGUGAUCGGCCACACUGGAACUGAGACAGGGUCCAGACUCCUACGGGAGGCAGCAGUAGGGAAUCUUCCGCAAAGGGCGAAAGCCUGACGGAGCAAAGCCGCGUGAGUAAUGAAGGUCUUCGGAUCGUAAAACUCUGUUAUUAGGGAAGAAGAUAUGUGUAAGUAACUGUGCACAUAUUGACGGUACCUAAUCAGAAAGCCACGGCUAACUACGUG
rnacentral:rRNA from 1 species